rnacentral:sRNA from 1 species
GUGAGAACAACCUGGGCAGAGGCAGAUGUCUCGGCUCAAGUUGCUGGAAACUUCUUCCUCACUUUUAGCUAAGAUCUGUCCUAGGAAGUUUACAGAAAAAGCCUCUGCUGCAACUUCCUGUGCCAGCAGACCUCAACUUGGGGAUGCUAGAUGACUUUGCCUUCGUGCUGUGGGCCAAAAUGCUAGGAAGAUGGAGACUACCUGCUUCCAAUGUUUCUUCUCUUUCUACGAAAGUACCUGAGGUUCCUCCAUGCCCCGUUUUGACAAGAUAGCUUUGAAGCAAAUGUACACACAUUAAAGCAACAAAAAUGUAUGGACUCAGUAGUUACAGGGAGUUUCAAAAGAUUUAGAAGAAUUCUGCUUUAAGUUUUGCAUCAAUCAUUUGACAGAAGUUACACAGACUGCAGCAUUUUGGCAAAUGGAUGGCCCUCUGCUAAAGGAAUUCAUUGCUAAAGCCAGUAAAUGUGGAGCCUUUAAGAACUGAAGCGCGAGGCUGCGGGUUCUGUGUGAGUGCUCUGGGGCACUGUUGAGGAUGUGUCCAGUUUGCGCUCUACGGGUGAUGUAAUUCUGCAGGUAAAAGACCAUCAGGUUGUUUUUUUCCACAUCUGGGACACAGUUGUUUGUGUAGGAACAUAACAAGGGUGUACGGCUUUUCUUGAGCCCAUUUUAAACAACCCUUGUUUCCAG